UACAGAGGGGGCAAGCGUUGUUCGGAAUUACUGGGCGUAAAGGGCGCGUAGGCGGCCGCCUAAGUCAGACGUGAAAUCCCUCGGCUUAACCGGGGAACUGCGUCUGAUACUGGGUGGCUUGAAUCCGGGAGAGGGAUGCGGAAUUCCAGGUGUAGCGGUGAAAUGCGUAGAUAUCUGGAGGAACACCGGUGGCGAAGGCGGCAUCCUGGACCGGCAUUGACGCUGAGGCGCGAAAGCCAGGGGAGCAAACGGG
rnacentral:rRNA from 1 species